UACAACAGAUUGCUUUAAAAUGCUGAGCAGCUGUUCCUAAGUAUACAGUAGCAUGACUUGUGUAAACUAAGGAGGAAAAAAUGGCUCUAUCAUGCCUUGCAUAAGGCUGAUCUUCAUCACUAAGAUUGUGUAAGAGUUUCACAAUGAAGAACAUGGAUUCUUCAGAACCCCUGAAAAAAGAUUAAAUGAAGUAACAGUAAUGAAUCAGACACAGAAUGUUCCAGUAGAGUUAUGUUACAGAAUAAUCACUCCAUCAUACCCAUGGUCUACAAAUGGCCUAGAUUUCCUUCUAGAACAUCUUUGUUCACAAAGCAGAAAACAAGACGAUGUGGCUCAAGAGGUGCUAUUUCAAAAGGUAGCCCAAAAAGGGUAGAGGAAAAAUCUUCGAAAACCUCUGGAAACAGAUAACCAUGCUCGAGGAACGGGAUAUAGAUAAAAGUCAACAUAUCCCCUUAGUGUGUUGGGAUUGAAGUGAUUCAGAAAAAGAAUGAAAUAAGAAAUAAAAAGAGGCAUUUGGGACAAAGGAGAAGACAUGAAAAUAAUUGCCCUUCAAGCCAGCUGGAAUUUGGCAAGUGUCAGCUCUAGCUGGCUGUGCUUUGUCUUCACUUAAGAUCUCCAUUAAAGUCUGAUUUGCAACUUCCUAA